GUGCUUGCUUGAUCUAAUUCAGCAACCAGAAUGAAGAUUGCCUCAAUGAUUGUGCUCCGGCCUGUUUGCUUCUUUGCCCUUCUGGCAUUUUUAGUACUCCUGCUUCCAAGCGUGGUGAUCCCAUUAUGGUACGAUACAAUUAAAAAAAUAGAGCAUGAUGCAAAGCUGAGCUCUCAAAAGCUCCACACUGAAUUGCUUUCAGAGAUUAAAAGCACAGCAGAGCUGGUGCAUCCAAUGAAUGCCUCAGCUAUGAACUUGGCAAGGGUUCUAAAUGCAUCUGUGAGCGGAAUGAAGCUUCCAUUCUCCGAAAUUAAGAAUAGGGUGGCGCCCAUGUUGUUUCAGGCACUAUCCAUAACUCCACAUGUAUCACAAAUUUCUUAUAUUGGAAUUGAUGGCCUACUCUUCUCCUACUAUGCUCAUGGAAGCGAAAUUUUUGCGCUAUAUUCUAAUUCUUCAAUUUCUGUUAAUUCAAGUUCCCCGAAUGCUACUGCAUAUACAUGGUACAUCCAACGGGCAGAUAGUGACACAGGAAAACUGUAUGGGAAAGUCAUCACUUCGCCUCCGCUGGUAGUGGUUAAUGCAAGCUGGUUUGAGGAAGCUAUGAAUAGUACCAAUGGAUAUUCUUCUUUAGGAACUGAAUGGAACAGUGUCCAAGAUCUUUUCCUUAACACAGCUAAGGUGGAUGGAAGAGGAGCUGUCUCUCUAGGGUUUCCAGUGAAAGAAGUAACUGAUUUCUUGUCUGUUAUUGAUCUUCAUGAUGGAAGCUUAUGCUUGGCUACAGAAGAUAAUAAAGUGCUCAUAGAAGGGCUCCCAAACACACAAAUAAUGGUUUCUAAUGAUUCCAUUUCUUUCAAAGUAGUAGAGAAUCAAGAUGGUGAUCAAAUAAGCCAUGUUGGGAACGUCUCGUGUAAGGCCGAUGAUAGGACACCAAAAGCUUCUGUUUUGAAUAUUAGCAACAAGGAUUAUGUAGUUUACUGUUCGCAGCUUGAAAUCAUGGGAGUGAAAUCGGUAUAUGCAUUGGCUUUUCCAUACAGGGGACUAGAGAGCCGUGUUCAUAAGAGCAGCAGAUCAGCACUCAUCCUUCAUAUAGUAAUGGUUGUCAUUAUGGUCAUCUUGGUUUCUAUGUUCAUGUUCUUGCUUGUUGGAGCAGCCAGAAGAGAAAUGUACUUACGUGCGAAGCUUAUAAAGCAAAUGGAUGCUACACAGCAAGCUGAAAGGAAGAGUAUGAACAAAAGUCUUGCUUUUGCGAGCGCUAGCCAUGACGUGCGUGCUUCUCUAGCAGGACUUACCGGUUUGAUAGACAUAUCUAAGGAUGAAGUUGCUCCAGGCUCUGAGAUAGAGACAAACUUGAUACAAAUGGAGGGUUGCACGAAGGACCUUUUGGGUAUAUUGAAUUCUAUUCUUGAUACCAGCAAAAUUGAAGCUGGUAAGAUGCAACUGGAAGAGGAGGAAUUCAACUUGGAAGAGCUCCUUGAAGAUGUUGUUGAUUUGUAUCAUCCUGUUGGUAUGAAAAAAGGCGUAGAUGUCGUGUUGGAUCCUCACGAUGGUUCUGUCGCUAAGUUUUCACGUGUUAAAGGCGACCGCAUGAAGCUCAAACAGGUUUUGUGCAACUUACUAAGUAAUGCUGUCAAAUUUACUUCUGAGGGACAUGUAUCCAUUCGAGCUUGGGCUAAGAAACCAAGUUCAGAAAGUUCGGUCCUAGCUUCUAGCCAGAAAAGCAUGUUGAACCGUUUAUGGAGCUUUUUUUGCAAGAAUAAUGAAGCAUUCAAGGACCUGGAAGCCAGCAAUAAAGUCCAAAAAAACCCUAAUUGUAUGGAGUUUGUGUUUGAGGUGGAUGAUACUGGUAAAGGAGUCCCCAAAGAGAAGCAGAAGUCUGUCUUUGAAAACUAUGUUCAGGUCAAAGAAACAGCUCUUGGAACAGGAGGCACUGGCUUAGGCCUUGGUAUUGUUCAAUCUCUGGUUCGUCUAAUGGGCGGAGAUAUUGGAAUUGUUGAUAAGGAAAUCGGCGCAAAGGGAACUUGCUUCAGGUUCAAUAUUUUCCUUACAACCUGUGACACUGUUCCAUCUGAUCAUGGAAAGGAAGAGGACAUUGAAGCACAAGGGCAUGCUACGUCCAGUUACUCAUAUCAACCUCUAGAUUUGAGGAUUCAAAGUACAUGCAAUCCGGGUUUGAAUAUUCUUACCUCGCCAAGGCCUAGUCCCAGGGCCGAGGGAUCCCAUGUGAUAAUCUUGAUGCAAAGUGAUGAAAGGAGAAGAAUCACGCAAAGGUUAUUUGAAACCCUAGGCAUAAAAGUAUCGGUACUGAAGGAAUGGGAGCGGUUUUUGUAUGCCCUCAAGAAGAUAAGGCGAAAGGUAAGCCUUUCACAUCGCAGCUCAUCUGGGAUAUCAGAAUUUAGUCCACGAAGCUUUAGAUCUGGUUCCUUCAGCUCUAAUGCCGGACCUAAGGAUAUGCCGCUAAGUGCCAUGGAUGGAACUGAUCUGACAUUGCCCACCCCAAGAAAGACCUACGCUAGAGGCACGCCGAGGUUCAUCUUAAUUCUGAUUGAAGCCACUGCUGGGCCAUUUCCUGAACUUUGCAGGGCUGUGGCUGAAUUUAGAAAAGACCUUCAGAAUACUUGCUGUCGCGCUGUUUGGUUAGAUAAACCAACUCUCCGCAGUGUCAAUUUCAGAGACGUCCCCGAGGAGAUGAUUUCGCCCAAUGAUCUAGUGAUGCUGAAACCUUUUCACGGAUCACGGUUGUAUCAAGUGGCUAAACUCCUCCCAGAAUUUGGUGGCCCAAUGCUGGGCAUUUCAGCCAUUUCACAGGUUGGAAAAGCUGGUCCAGAACCAAGCUUAUCUUCGCUUCCAACUACUAACAGGACCACGCCAAGAAAAUCCCGGAGUCGAGUACGCCUGGUUAAAGAACCAGAAAUACAAGAAGUUGGGACUUCAAGUAACCAAAACCCCUUGAGGGGGAAAAGGGUUUUGAUUGCUGAGGAUUCUAUGGUGCUGUGCAAGCUGGCUACGGCCCAUGUCACUCGACUCGGUGGAACAGUCGAAGCCUGUGACAACGGAGCAAAAGCUGUGGAGUUAGUUUGCAAUGGUCUACGCAAUAAUACGAAGAACAACGCCUCCAUCAUUCUUCCCUACGAUUACAUUCUAAUGGACUGCGAGAUGCCAGAAAUGGAUGGAUAUGAAGCAACAAAACGCAUAAGGGAGGAGGAACAGCAGUAUGGCGUUCAUAUCCCGAUCAUUGCAUUAACUGCUCAUGCAAAUGGGGAGGAAGCGAAGAGGACAAUCGAGGCUGGAAUGGAUUAUCAUUUAUCAAAGCCGCUUAAAAGGGAAACUCUGAUGGGAGCCAUUGAGUAUACGAACAGCAGAUGAAAUUGAUUUUGAGCCUUUCUAAUUAA